UAGCUCAGUUGGUUGAGCGUGGUGCUGAUAACACCAAGGUCGCGGGUUCGAUCCCCGU
rnacentral:tRNA from 1 species